GUGGGGAAUCUUCCGCAAUGGACGAAAGUCUGACGGAGCAACGCCGCGUGAGUGAUGAAGGUCUUCGGAUUGUAAAGCUCUGUUAAUCGGGACGAAAGAGCCUAGUGUGAAUAAUGCUAGGAAGUGACGGUACCGGAAUAGAAAGCCACGGCUAACUACGUGCCAGCAGCCGCGGUAAUACGUAGGUGGCAAGCGUUGUCCGGAAUUAUUGGGCGUAAAGCGCGCGCAGGCGGAGCUGCCAGUCUGUCUUAAAAGUUCGGGGCUUAACCCCGUGAUGUGAUGGAAACUACAGAUCUAGAGUAUCGGAGAGGCAAGUGGAAUUCCUAGUGUAGCGGUGAAAUGCGUAGAUAUUAGGAAGAACACCAGUGGCGAAGGCGACUUUCUGGACGAAAACUGACGCUGAGGCGCGAAAGCCAGGGGAGCGAACGGGAUUAGAAACCCUGGUAGUCC
rnacentral:rRNA from 1 species